rnacentral:lncRNA from 1 species
CUUUGGUCAAGGUAAGCAUGGUUUCUUUUUGUCAAGGUAAGGGUCAAGGUAAGCAUAAAGUUUCUUUGGGUCAAGGUAAGAGCCAAGGAAAGCAUAGUUUGUUUUGGUCAAGGUAAGAGUCAACAAAAAUUCGUACCCAUAAAUUUUCUUCUGGUCAGGGUAUUAAAGCAUAAAGAUUCUUUUUGUCAAGGUUAGCAUAACUUUUUUUUUUGUCAACUACACGUACAUGUAUUUUUUUUUUGCAAGGUAUUUCAAAGUAUAAGUCUCUUUUGGUCAAUGGUAGGCACAAACUUCUUUGGGUCUAGGUAAGCAGUUUCUUUGAGUCAAGGUAAG